rnacentral:rRNA from 1 species
UACGGGGGGGGCAAGCGUUGUUCGGAAUUACUGGGCGUAAAGGGCUCGUAGGCGGCCAACUAAGUCGGAUGUGAAAUCCCCAGGCUUAACCUGGGAACUGCAUCCGAUACUGGAUGGCUUGAAUCCGGGAGAGGGAUGCAGAAUUCCAGGUGUAGCGGUGAAAUGCGUAGAUAUCUGGAGGAAUACCGGUGGCGAAGGCGGCAUCCUGGGCCGAUACUGACGCUGAGGAGCGAAAGCGUGGGGAGCGAACAGG